AUAAUGCUGCGAGUAUGAGUCAAGGGCAAACUCGGCAGAGGUCGCCAAUUAGGUCGUGAAAGUGGGACAGGGCUUUAUAUGUUUCAAUAAGAUCUCCUCUCGUCCUAAAUUCCAGAGUAUGCAAACCCAGAUGCUCCAUUCUAUCAACAUAUGCUAUCCCAGGAAUUAACCUGGUGAACCUACGCCACACUCCCUCAAUAGCAAGUAUGUCCUUACUUAAAUUUGGAGACCAAAACUGCACAUAUUACUCCAGGUGUGGUCUCACUAGUACAGCUGCAGAAGAACCUCUUUGCUCCUAUACUCAACUUCUCUUGUUAUGAAGGCUGUCAUGGUAUUCGCUUUCUUCACUGCCUGCUCUACCUACAUACUUACUUUCAGUGACUGAUGAACAAGGACCCCCAGGUCUAGUUGUACUUCCCUUUUUCCAAACUUGACACCAUUUAGAUAAUAAUCGUCAUUUCCGUUUUUGCUACCAAAGUGGAUAACCUCUCAUUCAUCCACAUUAAACUGUAUCUGCCAUGCAUCUGCCACUCACCCAACCUGUCCAAGUCACCCUGCAUUCUCAUAGCAUCCGCCUCACCGUUCACACUGCCACCCAGCUUUCUGUCAUCUGUAAAUUUGCUAAUGUUACUUUUAAUCCCUUCGUCUGAAUCGUUAAUGCAUAUAGUAAAUAGCUGCGGUCCCAGCACCGAGCCUUGCGGUAUCCCACUAGUCACUGCCUGCCAUUCUGAAAGGGACCUGUUAGCCCUACUCUUUCCGUCUGCCAACCAAUUUUCUAUCCAUGUCAGUACCCUGCCCCCAAUACCAUGCGCUCUAACUUUACCCACUAAUCUCCUAUGUGGGACCUUAUUUAAUGCUUUCUGAAAGUCCAGGUACACUACACCCACUGGCUCUCCCUUGUCCAUUUUCCUAGUUACACCCUCAAAGAACUCAAACCGAUCCGGCUACUGCUAUCCAAAAGCUAUUUCAUCUUUUAUAGUCAGAGUGAGGAUAUUGUGUGGAGGUGGGGAUCAGGGAGGGGAGGUGAGGGUGGUGCAGGUUGGAACAUGGUGGUGGUGCCCCAGUUGUCACGGUUCCUGUCCCCACCCCCGGGGGGUUGGAACCGCGACACAAACUAACACUCUAGAAUGUAGCAUUUUGAACGAUGCAGACAAUGAGCAGCGGCACCGGGGGGCGGGACAUGGACACAGACACAGACAGACGGCGUUGGAGGAGGUUGUGUCUGGUGUCAGCUCAGCUAUACCCUACCCCCAUCUACCAUCAUCUAUUAUACUAUACUAUAGGUGCAGCGGGGUCAAGCGGUGACCAGAAGGGGAGUGGGUGAAGUGGCCACGCUCCCGCUCCUUGUUCCUGGCGCCGCGGCGAAGCUUCUGCUGCUCGGACCCCGCAGGGACCAUCACUCGUCAGUGCGGAAGACUGGCAGUGCCGUGCUUGGGCUGAGACUCGGAGGUGGUGGUACUACGGUGAGGAUGUCCCACCGCAGUCCCUGUCUGGCCACCAACGACUACUACCGGCACAACGACGACACCUCCAGCAGCAGCGGCGGCUCCAGCAAAUCCGGCGCUCCCUCUUACAUGGAGACUCCCGUCAGGUUGCACAAGAAAAGGUCAAACAGCACGAGGCCGGGACCUGUGCCUGGUGUCAAACGUUCACCGUCCAACAGUUCAGUCAACAGUCUUGAGUAGCUACAUCAGCAACAUUAGCAACGUCAGCAACGCCUCCAAGUGCUCUCAGCACUCUCAUCGCUCUCUUCACCUCAGCAGCAGCAGCGGCUGGCAGGAGCCCAUCGCAGUCACAGGGCCGUCCAGCUUUGAGGACAGCUACGAAGAGAAAUUCAACAGAGCAUACGGCAGGAUGGGGAGACUGACUGCGUCUUCCACUUCUUCCAACAUCUACUUGUCGUCCACAUCUGGCUACUCCUUCCAGGAUGAGCUGCAGGGUUUGGCUUACCUUGAAUUGUUCUCUCCCUUUGCCAAGCUGUGGGGCUGGAUCUCGCUGCUGUCUCCAGGUACCUGCAUUACUAAUCUUCCCUCUUCUGUGGUCCAUGGCCCCAAAACUCUGCUCCAGUCAACCAGUGCCCUGCUGAUACUGGACCCAGUGGGGAGGUACAGCCCGCUGCUCUCUCCUUAAACUCCCAGGGUUUGCACAAGGCCUGGUCCCCAGUGCUGUGUUGUUGGUGCAGCCUAGGACCACAGUCAGUGCGGGAGGAAGCCGCCUUCCAGCUUGGUACUCCAGUGUGUUCCCUCAGCCUGACUGGGUCACUCACUGAGAUGAGUGGUGAGUUGCCCAGAGGACCAUAGAGUCAAGAGACGACUGACAGUCAAUGCUCGGUUACUCGAUCCCGACUGAAGUCAUGUUGUAACACCUAAGGGUUUGUGUUCCAGGGUCACUGGGGCGAUGAAAGAAUAGGAUCUCCUUUAGAUUUCCCCAGCUGUGUGGCACCGAGGAUGCUUAGAGCAUGGAUGAACUUAGAGCCUGGAUUGACACCUGGAAGUAUGAUGUUGUGGCGAUCAGUGAAACAUGGUUGCAGGAGGGCUGUGAUUGGAAACUAAAUAUUCCAGGAUUUUGUUGCUUCAGGUGUGAUAGAAUUGGAGGGGAAAGAGGUGGAGGUGUUGCAUUGCAUAUCAGGGAAGAUAUUACAGCAGUGCUUUGACAGGAUAGAUUAGAGGGCUCGUCUAGGGAGGCUAUUUGGGUGGAACUGAGAAAUGGGAAAGGGGUAGAAACACUUAUAGGGGUGUAUUAUAGACCGCCAAAUGUGGAGUGAGAAUUGAAAGAGCAAAUAUGUAACGAGAGUGCAGAUAUUAGUAGUAAGCACAAGUUAGUGCUUGUGGGAGAUUUCAAUUUUCCACACAUAGACUGGGAAACACAUUCUAUAAAUGGGUUGGAUGGGUUGGAGUUUGUAAACUGUGUGCAGGAUAGUUUUUUGCAGCAAUACAUAGAAAUAGCCACUAGAGAAGGGGCGGUGCUAGACCUCCUGUUAGGAAAUGAGACGGGUCAGGUGGCAGAGGUAUGUGUUGGGGAACAGUUCUGGACCAGUGAUCACAAUACCAUUAGUUUCAAUAUAAUUAUGGAGAGGGUCAGAACUGGACCUAGGGAUGAGAUUUUUGAUUGGAGAAAGGCUAACUUUGAGGAGAUGCGAAAGGAUUUAAAAUGAGUAAAUUGGGACAGUUUGUUUUAUGGGAAAGAUGUGGAAGAGAAAUGGAGUACAUUUAAAGGUGACAUUUUAAGAGUACAGAAUCUUUAUGUCCCUGUUCGGUUGAAAGGAAAUAGUAAAAAUUGGAAAGAGCCAUGGUUUUCAAGGGAAAUUGGAUACUUGGUUCGGAAAAGGAGAGAUCUACAAUAAUUAUAGGCAGCAUGGAGUAAAUGAGGUGCCUGAGGAGUAUAAAGAAUGUAAAAAGAAUCUUAAGAAAGAAAUUAGAAAAGCUGAAAGAAGAUAUGAGGUUGCUUUGGCAAGUAAGGUGAAAGUAAAUCCAAAGGGUUUCUACAGCUAUAUUAAUAGCAAAAGGAUAACGAGGGAUAAAAUUGGUCCAUUAGAAAGUCAGAGUGGACAGCUAUCUGCAGAGCCAAAAGAGAUGGGGGAGAUAUUGAACAAUUUAUUUUCUUCGGUAUUCACCAUGGAGAAGGAUAUUGAAUUAUGUGAGGUAAGGGAAACAAGUAGAGUAGCUAUGGAUACUAUGAGAUUCAAAGAGGAAGUACUGACACUUUUGAGAAAUAUCGUAGCAUCAAAGCCCGGACUACGAGGCUGCUAAACAGCUUCCUACCACAGGCUGUGAGGCUGCUAAACAGUCACUCUGCACCCACAGUCACUUGACUUGACUCUGCGGCUGGCACGGACACUUUAAUACUGGCACUGGCCACUCACAUCAGCGGCCCCGGACAUUUUUUAUGAUUGGUUUAUUGAAUUUUAACAUUGUGUUUUUUUUUUUACCUGCUUUUAACUAUUUAUACUGUUCCAUCAGGGACUGGAUUGUUUUUAGUGUUAUUAUGUGUGAAGUGUUUAAAUUUCAUGUGCGAUGCUCCGCUAUUCACUGGGAAACGUCUUUUCAUUUUGCACUGUAACAACUGUUGCUUGCAAGAUGACAAUAAAGGUUGAUUGAUUGAUUGAUUGAAAAGUGGAAAAGUCUCCAGGUCCGGACAGGAUAUUCCUUAGGACAUUGAGGGAAGUUGGUGUAGAAAUAGCAGGGGCUAUGACAGAAAUAUUUCAAAUGUCAUUAGAAACGGGAAUAGUACCGGAGGAUUGGCGUACUGUGCAUGUUGUUCCAUUGUUUAAAAAGGUGUCUAAGAGUAAACCUAGCAAUUAUGGACCUGUUAGUUUGACCUCAGUGGUGGGCAAAUUAAUGGAAAGGAUACUUAGAGAUAAUAUAUAUAAGCAUCUGGAUAAACAGGAUCUGAUUAGGAACCGUCAACAUGGAUUUGUGCCUGGAAGGUCAUGUUUGACUAAUCUUCUUGAAUUUUUUGAAGAGGUUACUCGGGAAAUUGAUGAGGGUAAAGCAGUGGAUGUUGUAUAUAUGGACUUCAGUAAGGCCUUUGACAAGGUUCCUCAUGGAAGGUUGGUUAAGAAGGUUCAAUUGUUGGGUAUUAAUGGUGGAGUAGCAUGAUGGAUUCAACAGUGGCUGAAUGGGAGAUGCCAGAGAGUAACGGUGGAUGGUUGUUUGUCAGGUUGGAGGCCAGUGACUAGUGGGGUGCCACAGGGAUCUGUGUUGGGUCCACUGUUGUUUGUCAUGUACAUCAAUGAUCUGGAUGAUGGUGUGGUAAAUUGGAUUAGUAAGUAUGCAGAUGAUACUAAGAUAGGUGGGGUUGUGGAUAAUGAAGUAGAUAUUCAAAGUCUACAGAGAUUUAUGCCAGUUGGAAGAGUGGGCUGAAAGAUGGCAGAUGGAGUUUAAUGCUGAUAAGUGUGAGGUGCUACAUCUUGGCAGGACAAAUCAAAAUAGGACGUACAUGGUAAAUGGUAGGGAAUUGAAGAAUGCAGGUGAACAGAGGGAUCUGGGAAUAACUGUGCACAGUUCCCUGAAAGUAGAAUCUCAUGUAGAUAGGGUGGUAAAGAAAGCUUUUUGUGUGCUGGCCUUUAUAAAUCAGAGCAUUGAGUAUAGAAGUUGGGAUGUAAUGUUAAAAUUGUACAAGGCAUUGGUGAGGCCAAUUCGGGAGUAUGGUGUACAAUUUUGGUCGCCUAAUUAUAGGAAGGAUGUCAACAAAAUAGAGAGAGUACAGAGGAGAUUUACUAGAAUGUUGCCUGGGUUUUUGCAACUAAGUUACAGAGAAAGGUUGAACAAGUUAGGGCUUUAUUCUUUGGAGCGCAGAAGGUUAAGGGGGGACUUGAUAGAGGUCUUUAAAAUGAUGAGAGGGAUAGACAGAGUUGACGUGGAUAAGCUGUUCCCACUGAGAGUAGGGAAGAUUCAAACAAGGGGACAUGACUUGAGAAUUAAGGGACUGAAGUUUAGGAGUAACAUGAGGGGGACAUUCUUUACUCAGAGAGUGGUGGCUGUGUGGAAUGAGCUUCCAGUGAAGGCGGUGGAGACAGGUUCGUUUUUAUCAUUUAAAAAUAAAUUGGAUAGUUAUAUGGACGGGAAAGGAAUGGAGGGUUAUGGUCUGAGCGCAGGUCUAUGGGACUAGGGGAGAAUACGUGUUCGGCACAGACUAGAAGGGUGGAGAUGGCCUGUUUCCGUGCUGUAAUUGUUGUAUGGUUAUAUGGUCACCUAUUCCUUUUCUCCAGGGAUGCUGCCUGUCCUGCUGAGUUACUCCAGCUUUUUGUGUCUAUCUUUCCCAUGUUGGUUAUGGGAAAAGAUUGACUGGGACAGAGGGGGCUGCUAUCAUAUAAUAACCAUAUAACAAUGACAGCACGGAAACAGGCCAUCUCGACCCUUCUAGUCCGUGCCGAACACGUAUUCUCCCCUAGUCCCAUAUCCCCUGACUGCUAUUUUUAAGAGCUCUUUCUACCUCUCUCUUGAAAGUAUACAGAGAACCGGCCUCCACCGCCAUCUGAGGCAGAGAAUUCCACAGACUCACAGCUCUGUGAAAAAAAGUGUUUCCUCGCCCUCGUUCUAAAUGGCUUACUCCUUAUUCUUAAACUGUGGCCCCUGGUUCUGGACUCCCCCAACAUCGGGAACAUGUUUCCUGCCUCUAGCAUGUCCACACCCGUAACAAUCUUAUAUGUUUCAAUGAGAUACCCUCUCAUCCUUCUAAACUCCAGAGUGUAGAAGCUCAGCGGUCCCAGCACCGAGCCUUGCGGUAUCCCACUAGUCACUGCCUGCCAUUCUGAAAGGGACCUGUUAAUCCCUACUCUUUGUUUCCUGUCUGCCAACCACUUCUCUAUCCAUGUCAGCACUCUACCCCCAAUACCAUGUGCCCUAAUUGUGCCCACUAAUCUCCAAGGAUCCAAGUAGAGAUAGCUGAAUGGAUAGCAAAUUGGUUCCAUGGAAGGAAGCAGAGGGUGAUGGUGGAACGUUGCUUCUCGGACUGGAGGUCUGUGACUAGUGGUGUGACUCGGGGUUGGGUGCUGGGCCCGUUACUGUUUGUCAUCUACAUCAAUGAUUUGGAUCAGAACAUACAGGGCAAGAUUAGCAAGUUUGCUGAUGAUACAAAAGUGAGUGGUUUUGCAGAUAGUGAAGAUGGUUGUGAAAGAUUGCAGCAGGAUCUGGAUCGAUCGAUUAUAUGGUUAUAUGAUUGGCCAGGUGGGCUGAGGAAUGAUUGAUGGAAUUUAAUACAGAGAUGUGUGAGAUGUUGCAUUUUGGGACAUUGAACAAGGGCAGGACCUACUCAGUAAAUGGUAGGCCUCUGGGUAGUGUUGUAGAGCAGAGGGAUCUAGGAGUGCAAGUGCAUGGUUCCUUGAUGGUCGAGUCGCAGGUAGAUAAGGUGGUCAAAAAGGAUUUGGCACAUUGGCCUUCAUCAGUCAGAGUUUUGACUGUGGAAACUGGUAGGUCAUAUUUCAGUUGUAUAAGACGUUGGUGAGACCGCAUUUAGAAUAUUGUGUUCAGUUCAGGGCACCAUAUUAUAGGAAAAAUAUUGUCAAGCUUGAAAGGGUUCAGAGAAGAUUUACGAGAAUGUUGCCAGGACUAGAGGGUGUGAGCUAUGGGGAGAGGUUGAGUAGGCUGGGUCUCUAUUCCAUGGAGCGCAGCAGGAUGAGGGGAGAUCUUAUAGAGGCAUACAAAAUCAUAAGAGGAAUAGAUCGGGUAGAUGCACGGUUUCUUACCCAGAGUAGGGGAAUCGAGAACCAGAGGACAUAUGUUCAAGGUGAAGUGGAAAAGAUUUAAUAGGAAUCCAUAUAAACCAUAUAACCAUAUAACAAUUACAGCACGGAAACAGGCAAUCUCGACCCUUCUAGUCCGUGCCGAACACAUAAUCUCCCCAUGUCCCAUAUACCUGCGCUCAGACCAUAACCCUCCAUUCCCUUCCCAUCCAUAUAACUAUCCAAUUUAUUUUUAAAUGAUAAAAACGAACCUGCCUCCACCACCUUCACUGGAAGCUCAUUCCACACAGCUACCACUCUCUGAGUAAAGAAGUUCCCCCUCAUGUUACCCCUAAACUUCAGUCCCUUAAUUCUCAUGUCAUGUCCCCUUGUUUGAAUCUUCCCUACUCUCAGUGGGAAAAGCUUUUCCACGUCAACUCUGUCUAUCAAAAGGUGAUGUUCCGAAAGGUGAUGUUUUCACACAAAAAGGUGGUGGGUGUAUGGAACAAGUUGCCAGAGGAGGUAGUUGAGGCUGAGACUAUCCCAUCGAUUUAAAUAACAGUUAGAUAGGUACAGGUGCACAACCUUUUAUCCGACGAUCCAAAUAACGAAAACCUCCGAAUAGCGACAUUUUUUCAGUCCUUGAAGAAAGGUCCUUGAAAACGUUCACCGAGGGCGGCCCGCAGAGGUGACAGCGGAACCUCCGGUCGGUCCUCGAAGAAAGGGGAACUAAAUCCCCAUUCAUAAAAGAGAAGGUGAGGGUAUAUUGCGCGGGAGGGUUAAUAAUUGACAAUCUGCUGCUGCCUGCCCGCUGAGUUAAAAAGUUCCCACGGUAGACUCACGAUACACAGUGUAUCGUGAGUCUUGCAUGGGAACCUUUUAACUCAGCGGGCAGGCAGCAGCAAAUUGUCGUUCCCUUCAGUUUCACCCCACCUACACCCCUCUGCUUCCCGGCCAUGUGUGUGACCCCUUCCCUCCCCUCUCCAGCUCCCGCACAUUGCACCGGCGCGGGGGCUUUGCACUGUCUUCACGUUGGAGCCAGUGCCAGUCACCGGAGACGUCAGGACCAACGGGACACCGACCCCCAGGCCCACUGCAAGCACGGAGAACCCAGAGACCCACAGCCAGCAGCAGCCCAGCCCCGUUCCAAUUCCAGAGGAACACGCUCUCCGCUGUCCCCGUAGGGACAGAAGCUGAUGGCUCGGGCUGUGACGUCUCCGGCCACCCCCCUGUACAGGAGCUGAGACUGGGAACUGUGGGGUUGUUUGCAGUUGCAGAGGGAGGGGGCAAGGGCGGUACAGUUCCCAGUCUCAGCUCCAUUCCAGGGGGGUGACCGGAGACGUCAGGACCAACGGGACACCGACUGCAAGCACGGAGAACCCAUAAACUCACAGCCAGCAGCAACUCUAGCCCAGCCCCGCUCCAACUCCAGAGGAACCCGGGUUGCGGAUGAGGGGGCGCAGCUCGGGCUGUGGGCGAACUGCCACUUGUCGCUGUAGCGGCG